AGCAGCCGCGGUAAUUCCAGCUCCAAUAGCGUAUAUUAAAGUUGUUGCAGUUAAAAAAGCUCGUAGUUGAAUUUCGAGAUCAAAUUGUUGGUCGUGCCUCGGUACGUACUGGCAUUAUUGAUUUCUCCCUUCCGAAGAACCACGAUGUCAUUAAUUUGGUGUCGUGGGGAAUCAGGACUGUUACUUUGAAAAAAUUAGAGUGUUUAAAGCAGGCUCACGCUUGAAUACAUUAGCAUGGAAUAAUGAAAUAGGACGUUUGAUUCUAUUUUGUUGGUUUCUAGGAUCGACGUAAUGAUUAAUAGGGAUAGUUGGGGGCAUUAGUAUUCAAUUGUCAGAGGUGAAAUUCUUGGAUUUAUUGAAGACUAACUACUGCGAAAGCAUUUGCCAAGGAUGUUUUCAUUAAUCAAGAACGAAAGUUAGGGGAUCGAAGACGAUCAGAUACCGUCGUAGUCUUAACCAUAAACUAUGCCGACUAGGGAUCGGAUGAUGUUAAUUUUUAAUGACUCAUUCGGCGCCUUAA
rnacentral:rRNA from 1 species